ACAGGAUCAAGCAAGGAGAGAGAAAAUCAAGAGAAGAAGUCGUUCAAACUUUCUACACCUCCUUGAGACUUAUUAACAGGACCCAACCCAUAACCUGAUAGAGCAUUUGGAUGCUAUAGAGAUGAUCUAUCGAGGGACGAGAUUAAAUGGACAUGAGUUUAGUAGGGAUGAGGCUGUUAUCCAACUACUCAGGACCUUUGAGAAUUGCUGGAAAGAUUUUGCUGAACGAAUUGGUGUAAUGUUCUAUCAUCAGAUCAUCGUCGUUGUCGCCCGUGUGACCCACCUCCUUACAUCAAUCAUCCAGAAAUACUAGAGGUUGAUAAUGAGGGUAACGUUAUAGAUUAUAUACUAAUAUCUUUAACAAAAGAAAACGACCUUGAAGAAUCAAGAAGAGAGUGCUGGAACGAAUUAUUAGACAGAG
rnacentral:lncRNA from 1 species